GAUGAACGCUGGCGGCGUGCCUAAUACAUGCAAGUCGAGCGAACAGAUGAGGAGCUUGCUCCUCUGACGUUAGCGGCGGACGGGUGAGUAACACGUGGAUAACCUACCUAUAAGACUGGGAUAACUUCGGGAAACCGGAGCUAAUACCGGAUAAUAUAUUGAACCGCAUGGUUCAAUAGUGAAAGACGGUUUUGCUGUCACUUAUAGAUGGAUCCGCGCCGCAUUAGCUAGUUGGUAAGGUAACGGCUUACCAAGGCAACGAUGCGUAGCCGACCUGAGAGGGUGAUCGGCCACACUGGAACUGAGACACGGUCCAGACUCCUACGGGAGGCAGCAGUAGGGAAUCUUCCGCAAUGGGCGAAAACCUGACGGAGCAACGCCGCGUGAGUGAUGAAGGUCUUCGGAUCGUAAAACUCUGUUAUUAGGGAAGAACAAAUGUGUAAGUAACUAUGCACGUCUUGACGGUACCUAAUCAGAAAGCCACGGCUAACUACGUG
rnacentral:rRNA from 1 species